GCCAGGUGUGGUGGUGUGCACCUAUAGUCCCAGCUACUCAGGAGGCUGAGGCAGGAGGAUCCCUUGAGCCUGGGAAGUCAAGGCUGCAGUGAGCAGUAAUACUGUCAUUGCACUCCAGCCUGGGUGAUAGAGUGAGACCCUGUCUCUA
ensembl:misc_RNA Metazoa_SRP Metazoan signal recognition particle RNA